UACAAUUUUUUUUUUUUUGGUGAGGAAAGAAAUUAGUUCAUUUCUUUAUUGUGUAUUCCACACAUUUUAUUAAAUUAAUUUAAUUUGUUUCCCACAGGAGAUGAGCCUCCAGCAACGCGCAAGCCAUUGAAUCUGAAACCGCGCACAGCGCCCAUCAGCAACACACCUGAGGUAGUGCCAAGCUCCGUGUUCGGGAACGCCAAGCCCGUCGACACAGCAGCGAAAGAAAGGGAACUGGAAGAAAAGUGGAAAGCGCGAGGCAGGCCAGAGCGGGAGCCCAAGGAAGGCGGCGAAAAGGAGCGCACCGAUAGAGAUGCUGACAGAGAACGAGGAGACCGGGACCGUGAACGCGGUGACCGGGACCGUGAGCGUGGUGAUCGGGACCGUCCCAGAGGUGACCGAGAUCGCGACAGAGGUGACCGAGAUCGCGACAGAGGUGACAGAGAUCGUGAUAGAGGUGACAGAGACAGGCGUCGUCCUUUCAACCGGGACAGGGACCACUUUAAGGAUCGAGACUCAGACAACAGGCCAUCAAAAGAGAAUGAACCUCCAAAAGAAGGAAAAAGUUUUGAGCCUGCACCACCUCCGAAAGAAAACGCUUGGACCAAGCGUCCUCAACUAUCGGCGAACAAUGGUCUGCCUGAAUCGGAUGAAUCAAAGAUAGUCAAGAAGGUAGACUCUGAGCCUAAAGAACAGAAGGAAGAAGUGAUUUCUGAAAUUAAGCCGAAAGCUGCUCCUGUCGAACCAGCGGCAAAAGAACCUAGUAAACCGAAAGAAAUCAUCUCCAACGAUGCUAAAACGAAUUCACAACCCAUCACCGAGUCAAAGAAAAGUGAUACAACCGUGAACAAUCGUGCACCUUCAAAAGCGAGUGAGCCAGUCAAACCUAUCAAACCUCAACUGCAAGAACGGCAGGACCCCGAAGAGCCAGCAUCAGGUGACGGUGAUGACAGCGAGUGGAGCACCAAAGUCUCAAGAAUUGAACCAUCUGAAGAGAUCCAAUCAUCAAAAAUGCUCAAAGCUAAAGAACAAAAACCUCCUAAUUUUGCAACCGUCAACAAAUACGCUCUUUUUGAUGAUGAUCCAGAAGACAUCAACAAACCGAACUGA
rnacentral:lncRNA from 1 species